rnacentral:lncRNA from 1 species
CGUACUUCCCAAACGGCUGAGACACAGAGUUAGGACGAGGGAAGGACGGUUAGUCAGGGGUUGGCGCGACCAUAACGAGCACCCUCCGCCAGCCGAGAAAGAGUUAAGGCGCCGGCGGUGACUGCGGGCCCCGGAUGUGAGGACCGUGGCGCAACGUCUGUGGGCCGCGCUGCAGCAACUGCUAGAGCUGCGUGGAGAUCUAAGCCRGACGGACGUGGGGUGCGUUCCCCCCGCAUAGAAACGCCUGCCAAUGGUUUCUCGUUUGGACCCAGACUCCGAUUCCGGAGCAGUCUUGUAGCUGCAUCGCCAAAGAGAUUCCAAAGCAGAAAGAAGAAAACAUUACAAUUUGGG